UACGGGGGGGGGUAAGCGUUGUUCGGAAUUACUGGGCGUAAAGGGCUCGUAGGCGGCCAACUAAGUCGGACGUGAAAUCCCUCAGCUUAACUGGGGAACUGCGUCCGAUACUGGAUGGCUUGGAUUUGGGAGAGGGAUGCGGAAUUCCAGGUGUAGCGGUGAAAUGCGUAGAGAUCGGGUGGAACACCAGAGGCGAAGGCGGCUAGCUGGACAGUGACUGACACUCAACUGCGAAAGCGUGGGGAGCAAACAGG
rnacentral:rRNA from 1 species